UGAGUCGGCCGGGUGGCCGCGGCCCGGGAGCGACCGGGUCGAGGAAGGUCGGGGCUCCACAGGGCAGGGUGCUGGCUAGCGGCCAGUCGGGGCGACCUGCAGGAAAGUGCCACAGAAAACAGACCGCCGAUGGCUCCCAGAGCACAGGUAAGGGUGAAACGGUGCGGUAAGAGCGCACCAGCGCCCGGGGUGACCCGGGCGGCUCGGCAAACCCCACCCGGAGCAAGGCCGAACAGGGGAAGGGCGGCCCGUCCGGUGCCUCACCAGAGGCACGCUCCCCAGGUAGGCCGCAUAGAUGGAUGGCCACCGCGCCGCCCCCGGGCGACGUACAGAACCCCGCCUACAGGCCGACUCACCGU
rnacentral:RNase_P_RNA from 1 species